rnacentral:rRNA from 1 species
GACGAACGCUGGCGGCGUGCUUAACACAUGCAAGUCGAACGGAAAGUCCCUGCUUUUGUGGGGUUCUCGAGUGGCGAACGGGUGAGUAACACGUGAGUAACCUGCCCUUGACUUUGGGAUAACUUCAGGAAACUUGGUCUAAUACCGGAUUGGAGCUCCUGCUGCUUGGUGGGGGUUGGAAAGUUUCGGCGGUUGGGGAUGGACUCGCGGCUUAUCAGCUUGUUGGUGGGGUAGUGGCUUACCAAGGCUUUGACGGGUAGCCGGCCUGAGAGGGUGACCGGCCACAUUGGGACUGGGAUACGGCCCCGAAUCCUACGGGAGGCAGCAGUGGGGAAUAUUGCAAAAUGGGAGGAAGCCUGAUGCAGAAAAGCCGCGUGCGGGAUGACGGCCUUCGGGUUGUAAACCGCUUUCGCCUGUGACGAAGCGUGAGUGACGGUAACGGGUAAAGAAGCACCGGCUAACUACGUG